CUUAGUACGGCGAGUGAGCGGCAAAAGCUCAAAUUUGAAAUCUGGUACCUUCGGUGCCCGAGUUGUAAUUUGGAGAGGGCAACUUUGGGGCCGUUCCUUGUCUAUGUUCCUUGGAACAGGACGUCAUAGAGGGUGAGAAUCCCGUGUGGCGAGGAGUGCGGUUCUUUGUAAAGUGCCUUCGAAGAGUCGAGUUGUUUGGGAAUGCAGCUCUAAUGGGGGGGUAAAUUCCAUCUAAAGCUAAAUAUUGGCGAGAGACCGAUAGCGAACAAGUACAGUGAUGGAAAGAUGAAAAGAACUUUGAAAAGAGAGUGAAAAAGUACGUGAAAUUGUUGAAAGGGAAGGGCAUUUGAUCAGACAUGGUGUUUUGUGCCCUCUGCUCCUUGUGGGUAGGGGAAUCUCGCAUUUCACUGGGCCAGCAUCAGUUUUGGUGGCAGGAUAAAUCCAUAGGAAUGUAGCUUGCCUCGGUAAGUAUUAUAGCCUGUGGGAAUACUGCCAGCUGGGACUGAGGACUGCGACGUAAGUCAAGGAUGCUGGCAUAAUGGUUAUAUGCCGCCCGUCU
rnacentral:rRNA from 1 species